CGGCGUGCUUAACACAUGCAAGUCGAACGGAAAGGCCCUGCUUGCAGGGUACUCGAGUGGCGAACGGGUGAGUAACACGUGGGUGAUCUGCCCUGCACUUCGGGAUAAGCCUGGGAAACUGGGUCUAAUACCGGAUAGGAGCCAUUUUUAGUGUGAUGGUUGGAAAGUUUUUUCGGUGUAGGAUGAGCUCGCGGCCUAUCAGCUUGUUGGUGGGGUAAUGGCCUACCAAGGCGGCGACGGGUAGCCGGCCUGAGAGGGUGGACGGCCACAUUGGGACUGAGAUACGGCCCAGACUCCUACGGGAGGCAGCAGUGGGGAAUAUUGCACAAUGGGCGCAAGCCUGAUGCAGCGACGCCGCGUGGGGGAUGACGGCCUUCGGGUUGUAAACUCCUUUCGCUAGGGACGAAGCUUUUUGUGACGGUACCUAGAUAAGAAGCACCGGCUAACUACGUGCCAGCAG
rnacentral:rRNA from 1 species